rnacentral:rRNA from 1 species
AUUGAACGCUGGCGGCAGGCUUAACACAUGCAAGUCGAGCGGAAACGAUGAUAGCUUGCUAUCAGGCGUCGAGCGGCGGACGGGUGAGUAAUACUUAGGAAUCUACCUAGUAGUGGGGGAUAGCACGGGGAAACUCGUAUUAAUACCGCAUACGACCUACGGGAGAAAGGGGGCAGUUUACUGCUCUCGCUAUUAGAUGAGCCUAAGUCGGAUUAGCUAGAUGGUGGGGUAAAGGCCUACCAUGGCGACGAUCUGUAGCUGGUCUGAGAGGAUGAUCAGCCACACCGGGACUGAGACACGGCCCGGACUCCUACGGGAGGCAGCAGUGGGGAAUAUUGGACAAUGGGGGAAACCCUGAUCCAGCCAUGCCGCGUGUGUGAAGAAGGCCUUUUGGUUGUAAAGCACUUUAAGCAGUGAAGAAGACUCCGUGGUUAAUACCCACGGACGAUGACAUUAGCUGCAGAAUAAGCACCGGCUAACUCUGUGCCAGCAGCCGCGGUAAUACAGAGGGUGCAAGCGUUAAUCGGAAUUACUGGGCGUAAAGGGAGCGUAGGUGGCUCUAUAAGUCAGAUGUGAAAUCCCCGGGCUUAACCUGGGAACUGCAUCUGAAACUGUAGAGCUAGAGUAUGUGAGAGGGAGGUAGAAUUUCAGGUGUAGCGGUGAAAUGCGUAGAGAUCUGAAGGAAUACCGAUGGCGAAGGCAGCCUCCUGGCAUAAUACUGACACUGAGGCUCGAAAGCGUGGGUAGCAAACAGG